rnacentral:rRNA from 1 species
UACGAAGGGUGCAAGCGUUACUCGGAAUUACUGGGCGUAAAGCGUGCGCAGGCGGUUGUGCAAGACAGAUGUGAAAUCCCCGGGCUUAACCUGGGAACUGCAUUUGUGACUGCAUAGCUAGAGUACGGUAGAGGGGGAUGGAAUUCCGCGUGUAGCAGUGAAAUGCGUAGAUAUGCGGAGGAACACCGAUGGCGAAGGCAAUCCCCUGGACCUGUACUGACGCUCAUGCACGAAAGCGUGGGGAGCAAACAGG